UGUCAAACGUAUACACCCCAAGGUUCUUGCUCAUGUAUUUGAAGCAUAUCCAUUCAUAUGUCCGUACGUAUCUGACAUUAGAGAGGCCAGAGUCAGCCAACAAAGCAUUAAUGAGACACUUGCUAUUUGCUUUUGGCAGCUGCAAGGCAGACAGGACGUAAUGUUCUGUGCCAGGUCUGGACCAUAGAUAGACUGACUGACUGACUGUGCAUGCUGCCAUCUGAUGGUCAUCAUUACACCCAGAUGGGGCAAUCUAAGUGCUGGGAAUGUAAAAGUGACCCAAUGGCUGAAUGUGCAAUCUGAAAACUGAUGGGAGUCCAUUGUGUUGUUGUGCUCCUGAUAUUUCAGAUGUUUUGCAGACUCCUCCCACUGCUGUUGCUGCUCCUGCUGCUGCUGCUGCUGCUGCUGCUGCACAUGAUCUUCACAGUUCUGCCUGAUCCAUUUUACAACAGUAACGAGAUCCUCUCCAAGCUGGAUUUGUCACAGUCACACCUUCUUCCAACAAAACUGCCACUAUAUGUCCUUGAGGACCAUGAAGUCCACUUGAAUCUUAAAGUGGAAGGUUUGUUUAUGUGAGCGUGACAAGCCUCUCUGCAUAGCAAAGUCAAUGUAAACCGUCUCCCUUAUAGCAACUUCCUGACUCAGCAUGGAAGUUGGACAUGCAGAUUUACGACUGCCCCGCACGUGCGUGACUCGCAUCCGAGCAGCCAACUUCUGAAAAACAACUCAGUUUGGAAACAUGAGAGAGAGAGAGAGAAAAACAGCUGGCUGAAUGUGCGGGGAUUUGUCAAGAGAAGCAGUACAGUGUGAUAAAUGCUAAUGAAAUGAUGGAUGCUACAGUUUGUUUACUGCUCAUCACAAUGUGCUCGCUAUCUCUCAUGGAUUGUAAACAAGCCUUAAUUAGAAAGGGGAGCUAUUCGAUUUCUCGCUGACAUCAGAGCUGCGUGUUUGUGCGCACAAACUGGGUCACAAGAGCCCACAAAUAAGGACCAUGAAAAUCCUUUCAAUUAAAUGUGCUUGCAUGAGCAAGGUUGGAGAUGCCAAAGUUUCUUUGGGUGAUAGCGCAUCAAACAAUCUGGACAAGGUGUGGAGCAGUUUCAAACUUUACAAGAAGUGCAUUUUUAUGUGAAGAAAAAAAAAACAUUUAAGAUUGUGCACAAGAAUUAUCCAGUGAAUCAGUUGUUAUCGCUUUUUUUUUUCUCUUCAUGGGCUGCCGAGACAAUGAAGACAGGAAACUGGAGACAAGGAAGGAGAAGGAGGGUAGGAGUGCUGAAAGUUUCACAAGAGUGGCUGGCGGGGGAGAGCAUGCACAUUGCACGCAGGAAGGCCGGAGCUUGGAUCAGAACCACCAAAGCGCCACGCCGCCAUAUGCAUUCCAAUACACACUGCAACAACUAGGACGACUCCCAUUUCUAAGAUGGCCACGCCCACGAAACCAGGCUACUGUCACGGGUAGGCAACUCCGGUCCGGGCCUCGAGGGCCGGUGACGCAUCCUAAAGUGUGCGAGCGAGCAGCAGGUUGGCGAGGUCGUGCUGGCCGCCGGUCCCAGACAUCAUGAGAACUGCUGCUAUUAGUGGACGCAGCCAGUUGGCAAAUCCGAAAAUUAUUUUCAUACUAAACCUUGUUCUACUUUCAGCCUAGAUCACACGCACAUACUAUGAAUAUAUUUUACAGCUCCAAGCAUCUUUGCCAUUGCAGCAGAGAUGAGAGUCUCAUACGGCUUAUUCCUUUAUUUUUAUUUUAUUUUUACAAAAAUACAUGCAAGUUUAACAAAGUUCAAAGCGAUAUGAGAAAGAGGUCCGUUUCCAAGCAGAAAAUCCCUCAGGCUGCAAAUGUCCAUGGUUAUGAACCAGCUCACAUGACUCAUUUGAUGAAUAGUCAUAAAAAUCAAAUGCCCCCUUCAAAUCCAAAUCCGCCCUGCCGCCUGAUCCAAGUCAUGAAGGAUUUUGGCAAAGUCUUUCCUUUAACCACAGCUGAAAAUCACUUGCACCUGGACAAGGGUGAGGCUCUACCACUUUUAUUUUCCAUUGCAAAACACCUCAGUCAUGUUUCAAUCAUUUCGUCACAAGUUGGUCUGGAUGGGAACUCCAAGCAAAUACAGGUCACGCUCCUGUAAAUAAUCGCUGUCUUUUUCCACAGAUUGAAUAUCUGCAUCAUGUUUUCCAUGCAAAGGUCCAGCAGUCACACGGACACUAAAUUAGAUGUAGUUGGGCUCAUCUCCGCAUAGCUGCACGUUGGCGUGCUGGAGUGGCAGAAGAGUGCCAGAGCGAGACACCAUUGUGGUUUUGUGGCCCAUGUGGAUGUCUUCAUCGGUGUGCUGGCGAUGUCAUCAUCUUUUUCAGAAGAUGGCCAUCUUUGACUCUUGACAACAUGCAUGAAUGCCAUCUACAGGACUGAAGUGGAAAAGCCCUGACCUCAAUUGGAAAAAAAUGUUGCCCUCCCAAAAUGGAUGAAUUGUAAGACUGUCAACAGCCCCUGGCCUUUCCUAAUGCGACCUGGGCAUGGGACUCCAUCAGCAGGACCUGGCGUGCCGCCAGUAGGCCCAUCCAAACAUCCUCAGCGCAUGCAAGGGAGGGGAAAUCAUUUUUACGUAAAUAACACUCGGGGAAUACAUUCGCACAGCGAAGUGAUUUUACCCUUGCUUCAGAAAUGUCUCUGAGAUUUGUCACACUGCAAGUCCCUCUCUGAAAUAUGACACAGAUCUUUAUUUUUUUUCUUUGCAGAGUUAAAGAUGAAAGAUGCAUUCCUGCAUAUGUGGUCUUCUAUGUCUGUAAUGGCACCCUGCUCAUUUAAGGAGUUGGUGGACUCCUUCUACUCACUGCUUGUCAUUAGAGUCUCGCUCGCCUGCCAAGACAAUGAAAUGAUGACUGCUUUAAUAGGCAGGUGUUGAUUUGAUACUUGUUUUUUCUCUUCACUUUCAUUAUCUCCAAAACGCACAUUUGAGUGAUGGCGUUAUCCAGCAAAGUCUGACAUUUGUCUUAUCGGUUUAAAAUCAUCAUGCAAGAGUGGCAAACAAAGUAUGCUGAAAAUAAAGGGAGUCAAUUUUUUUGUCAACAACAUAAGGCAGCAAUAUGGCAACAAUGAA